rnacentral:lncRNA from 1 species
UUAAACUAUAACUAGCAAGAAAUGAGAAACUGAUUACAUCUGCUUAUUUGGACAGUGAAUGGAACCACAUAUUCUGCCUGUUGGCAAACACCAAAUCUGUAUAGUUUAUUUUCUUCAAAGGGAAUCAUGAUUGCCAACAAUCACUCAGCACCAACAAUUUACUGAAUGUUUAUCUGCCUGCAUUCUUCUUGUGGCUGGAAAUGUAGCAGUGAACCAGACCGAGACCCUGAUCCGCUGGGUAUAUAGCUGGGGGAGUCAGACAUUCAUGAAAAUGACUUCUAGUGCCACAGAUAUUUCAAAAGAUGCAGUAAAGAGUUCUGUGGGUCUGAAUGAUAUGGUGUGCUAACCAAAUAUGUGAAGGUGGCGAAGGUCUCCUAGAAGAAUUGGUGCAAAACUUGAGUCUCAAAGGAUGAGCUGGGUGAGGAGUUGGGCACAGUAUUCUGGGCAGUGGGAACAUCAUGGACAGAAGCCUGAAUGCAGCGGAGAGACUGACUCACUUGUGGGCAUGAAGGAGAUCAGCAUGACUGGAUUGGAGCUCACUUCCUGGUGUUUUCACCUCAUUGCAUCCCUGGUUGGUUUCUGUUGCUUGCAAUGAAAGAACCCUUACAAAUGCAAUAAUGCAGAAGUAACAAUGAAGAUGACACUGAUUCACACAAGAUUUAAUUUGUUACAUGAGUAAAUAAACAAAGCAAAAUGAACAGAAUUUACUAUACUGCAUCCCUGCUGGGAGUAUGUUGAGCUAUCUGGCCUGGAAGGCCUUUGUGACCUGUUGAAAGAAUAUACAUGGAUUUACUUCAGGAGAAAAAUAAAGUGUUAUUUUAA